GAUCCUGGCUCAGGACGAACGCUGGCGGCGUGCUUCAUACAUGCAAGUCGAACGAGAAUCUCUAGCUUGCUAGAGAGGAAAGUGGCGGACGGGUGAGUAAUGUGUAGAGAAUCUGCCCUUGAGCGGGGGACAACAGCUGGAAACGGUUGCUAAUACCCCAUAUGAGGUAAGUUGAAAUACUUAUCUUGAAAACUCCGGUGCUCAAGGAUGAGUCUGCAUCUGAUUAG
rnacentral:rRNA from 1 species